GAACUUCCCAUGGCAGUCCCUAUCAACAAUUUUCUCCGAUAUCCAUUGACUAUAAAGGCAAUUUCUAAUUGCAUGACAAGUAGACUCAGCUUCCCUCCCACAUCUUUCAGACUCCGCUAUAUGACGUCUCGCUCUUUUAAAAUUGGAAGCGGUCCUUGGCCCCAAUCCAAACCAGGUUACGCACUCUUUGUGGAGUUUGCAAAGACCAAACAACCUAUUUGCUUUUUUCCCACUCUUGACCUGCGAGAUGACUUCACCGAAAAGGAUCCAUUAGAGGUAGCAGGCCAGUCAAUCUCAUCCUUCCCAGAUUUUGGAGGAUUCACAGUGAUAGCCGCAAUCUGCAGACAAGAGGAGGAGAUAGGUAAGAAAUGCUGGAAUAAUUUCCAGUGUCCCCAGCAUCUCUGCCACAGUG
rnacentral:misc_RNA from 1 species